GAUGAACGCUAGCGGUGUGUUUAAGAUAUGCAAGUCGAGCGAAUGAAACUAGACUGAAGAUGACUCGCAAGAGAAGUCCGAUGACUGGAUGAUUUAGCGGCAGACGGCUGAGUAACGCGUAGGAACUUACCCCAUGAGUCUCGGAUAGCCUCUCGAAAGAGGGGGUAAUACGAGAUGGUCCCCGAGCAAUCGGGGUAAAGCAGCAAUGCGCUUUGGGAGAGGCCUGCGUUCUAUCAGGUAGUUGGUGAGGUAAUGGCUACACCAAGCCUAUGACGGAUAGCUGGUCUCACGAGGACGACCAGCCAGAAGAGCACUGAGACACGGGCUCUACACCUACGGGUGGCAGCAAUCAAGAAUCGUCGGCAAUGGGCGAAAGCCUGACCGCGCGACACCGCGUGUAGGAUGAAGCUUCACAAGAGUGUAAACUACUGUGGCAGGGGAAUAGUAAAAGGACGGUACCCUGCUAGAAAGUGGUCGCUAACUGCGUGCCAGCAGCGGCGGUAAUACGUGGACCACGAGCGUUAUCCGGUGUCACUGGGCGUAAAGCGUGUGUAGGCGGUCCAGUAAGUCACUUUUCAAAGACUUCGAUUCAAUCGAGGGAAGGGGAGUGAUACUGCUAGACUAGAGUUAUCCACUGGGAAAUCGGAAUGCGUGAAGGAGUAGUGAAAUGCGUUGAUCUCAUGCAGAACACCAGUGGCGAAGGCGGAUUUCUGAGGGAUGACUGACGCUGAGACACGAAAGCUAGGGGAGCGAACCGGAUUAGAGACCCGGGUAGUCCUAGCCCUAAACGAUGCUCGCUAAUUGUCCCGCUACAACUUUAUUUUACAAUUUAAUUUUCAAUCAUUAAAUUCAAACAUUUCCAAAAUGAAUCACUUCAUUUUGUAUGUAUGUUUUUAUUUACUGAUGAUUUUAGCUUGUACUUAGAGUUGUGGUGGGAUAGUGAAGCUAACGCGAUAAGCGAGCCGCCUGGGAAGUAUACUCGCAAGGAUGAAACUCAAAGGAAUUGGCGGGGAGACACACAACCAGUGGAGCAUGUGGUUUAAUUCGUUAAGAACCGAAGCACCUCACCAAGGUUUGACAUGCUAGAGUUCUAUACUCGAGAAACCGAGUAGAUGCGCAAGCAGGCUAGCACAGCUGUUGCAUGGCUGUCGUCAGUUCGUUCCGUGAGGAGUGCCUUUAAGUAGGACAACGAACGCAACCCUCAUCUUGUGUUACAAGUGUCACAAGAAACUGCCUUCAGCUUGUCUGGGGGAGGAAGGAGAGGCAGACGUCAAGUCAGCAUGACGCUUACACCUUGGGCCACACACAUGCUACAAUGGACUAUAACAAUGCGCAGCAACACCGCGAGGUAGAGCAAAUCGCACCAAACUAGUCCUCAGUUGGGAUUGCAGGCUGAAACUCGCCUGCAUGAACCCGGAAUUGGUAGUAAUCGGAGGUCAGCUAUACUCCGGUGAAUACGUUCUUGUCUCUUGCACACACUGCCCGUCAAGCCAACAAAGUCGGUAGCAUCUGAAGGCUCUCCAGCAAAGGGGGGACGAAGGUGAGACUGGCGAUGGGGGCU
rnacentral:rRNA from 1 species